rnacentral:rRNA from 1 species
AGAUUGAACGCUGGCGGCGUGCUUAACACAUGCAAGUCGAGCGGUAACGCGGGAGCAAUCCUGGCGACGAGCGGCGAACGGGUGAGUAAUGCUUGGGAAUCUGCCCAUUAGUGGGGAACAACCAGCCGAAAGGUUGGCUAAUACCGCAUACGCCCUACGGGGGAAAGCGGGGGAUCGAAAGACCUCGCGCUAAUGGAUGAGCCCAAGUCGGAUUAGCUUGUUGGUAGGGUAACGGCCUACCAAGGCGACAAUCCGUAGCUGGUCUGAGAGGACGACCAGCCACACUGGGACUGAGACACGGCCCAGACUCCUACGGGAGGCAGCAGUGGGGGAAUAUUGGACAAUGGGGGCAACCCUGAUCCAGCGACGCCGCGUGUGUGAAGAAGGCCUGCGGGUUGUAAAGCACUUUUAGUGGGAUGAAAAGCUCAGGUUAACACCUCUGGGUCUUGACCUAACCACAGAAAAGCACCGGCUAACUCUGUGCCAGCAGCCGC